rnacentral:rRNA from 1 species
UACAGAGGGGGCAAGCGUUGUUCGGAAUUACUGGGCGUAAAGGGCGCGUAGGCGGCCUUCUAAGUCGAACGUGAAAUCCCCGGGCUCAACCCGGGAACUGCGUCCGAUACUGGAAGGCUUGAAUCCGGGAGAGGGAUGCGGAAUUCCAGGUGUAGCGGUGAAAUGCGUAGAUAUCUGGAGGAAUACCGGUGGCGAAGGCGGCAUCCUGGACCAUAACUGACGCUGAGGCGCGAAAGCUAGGGGAGCAAACGGG